rnacentral:rRNA from 1 species
UACGGAGGGUGCAAGCGUUUAUCCGGAUUCACUGGGUUUAAAGGGAGCGUAGGUGGCUUUGUAAGUCAGUGGUGAAAUCUUAGAGCUUAACUCUAAAAACUGCCAUUGAUACUGCUUAGCUUGAAUCACGUCGAGGUGGAUGGAAUAUUACAUGUAGCGGUGAAAUGCUUAGAUAUGUAAUAGAACACCGAUUGCGAAGGCAGUUCACUAGGCGUGUAUUGACACUGAGGCUCGAAAAGCGUGGGGGAUCAAACAGG